UUCAGUGGCCUAAAUACUCUCAACCAAAUUCCAUCUGAUCUUAGAAAUUGAGAAGAGAUGGCUCUGAUUAGUAUUUGGAUGGGAAACUACCAAAGAACAUCAGGUGUUGUAGACU
rnacentral:rRNA from 1 species